GGAAGAACGAGGCGUGGUAGAGCAACACCAUUUCUUGCUGAUCCAGAACAGAACGAGUGCGGCAAGUGCGGUAGAUUGGGUCAUAAUUCACGCACUUGCCGUUGGCAAAUUAGUGAGGAUGGCGCACUUCCACCUUCUAGAUCAGGCGUACGACCAGACCCACCGAGGUCGUCUCAUAGCGGGAGGGCAGGUCCUUCCGCUCCUUCGUUCUAGAGCCCAUGAUGGGUUUUUGGCGCUGCAGUACGACGACCGCUACACUCCUUUACUACAG